GAUGAACGCUGGCGGCGUGCCUAAUACAUGCAAGUCGAGCGAACGGACGAGAAGCUUGCUUCUCUGAUGUUAGCGGCGGACGGGUGAGUAACACGUGGAUAACCUACCUAUAAGACUGGGAUAACUUCGGGAAACCGUAGCUAAUACCGGAUAAUAUUUUGAACCGCAUGGUUCAAAAGUGAAAGACGGUCUUGCUGUCACUUAUAGAUGGAUCCGCGCUGCAUUAGCUAGUUGGUAAGGUAACGGCUUACCAAGGCAACGAUGCAUAGCCGACCUGAGAGGGUGAUCGGCCACACUGGAACUGGGACACGGUCCAGACGCCUACGGGAGGCAGCAGUAGGGAAUCUUCCGCAGUGGGCGAAAGCCUGACGGAGCAACGCCGCGUGAGUGGUGAAGGUCUUCGGAUCGUAAAACUCUGUUAUUAGGGAAGAACAUAUGUGUAAGUAACUGUGCACAUCUUGACGGUACCUAAUCAGAAAGCCACGGCUAGCUACGUG
rnacentral:rRNA from 1 species